rnacentral:rRNA from 2 species
CAUGUCUUUUUGAGUUUAAUUUAAAGUCUGAUCUGCUCAAUGAAUAUUAAAUAGCCGCAGUAUUUUAACUGUGCGAAGGUAGCAUAAUAAUUAGUUUCUUAAUUAGAAACUGGAAUGAAUGAUUGGACAAGAAAAUAUCUGUCUCUUUUUUAAAUUUUUUGAAUUUUAUUUUUAAGUGAAAAAGCUUAAAUUUUUAUAAAAGACGAGAAGACCCUAUAGAGUUUUAUAUUAUUGAGUAAUUUAAAUUUAGAAAUAAAAUUUUAUUUAAUUUUAUUUGAUUGGGGUGAUUUAAAGAUAAAAAAAAUUCUUUAAUUUGUAAAUUGGUGAUUUCUAAACUAAAAAUCUAUAUUUUAUAAAAAUAAAAUAAAUUACCUUAGGGAUAACAGCGUAAUUUUUCUUUAAAGUUCACAUUAAAAGGAAAGUUUGCGACCUCGAUGUUGGAUUAAAAUUAAUUUUUGGUGCAAUAACUUAAAAAUUAGGUCUGUUCGACCUUUAAAAUUUUACAUGAUCUGAGUUUAAAUCGGCGUGAGCCAGGUUGGAUUCUAUCUUUAGAAUAUUAAUAUAUUUUAGUACGAAAGGACCAAAUAUUUAUUAAAUUAAUU